GCCGUCAUAGAUCAGUGGCAGAGCGCUGGUUUUGUAAACCAGGGGUCGUGAGUUCGAUCUUCACAGGUGGUU